AUGGCCAUCACCAGGGCUUCGCUCCUUGCCAUCCUUGGCUGCCUCUGCUUCUGCAGUUCUGCCCUUGGAGCUCGCGAGCUGAACGGUGACUUGUCAAUGGUAGCAAGGCAUGAGGGUUGGAUGACGGAGUACGGUCGCGUGUACAAGGACGCUGCUGAAAAGGCGCAGAGGUUUGAGAUAUUCCAGGCUAAUGUCAGGUUCAUCGAGUCAUUCAACGCCGGAAACAGCAAGUUCUGGCUCAGCAUCAACCAGUUUGCGGAUCUCAGCAAUGAUGAGUUCAGGGCGACCAAGACUAACAAGGGGUUCAUUCCCAACAAGGUGAAGGUUCCAACAGAAUUCAGGUAUGAGAAUAUGAGCUUUGAUGCACUUCCGGCGAUGGUGGACUGGAGGACAAAGGGUGCGGUCACUCCCAUCAAGAAUCAAGGCCAGUGUGGUUGUUGUUGGGCAUUUUCUGCUGUUGCUGCAACAGAGGGCAUUGUCAAGCUAAGUACUGGCAAUCUGGUCUCGCUCUCAGAGCAAGAAUUGGUGGAUUGUGAUGUCCAUGGCGAGGACCAAGGCUGUGAGGGUGGGCUCAUGGAUGAUGCAUUCAAAUUCAUUAUCAAGAAUGGAGGCCUCACCAAAGAGUCCAGUUAUCCAUAUGCCGGUGCAGACGACAAAUGCAAGAGUGGAUCCAACGGUGUUGCAACAAUUAAGGGCUAUGAGGAUGUGCCUACCAAUGAUGAGGGUGCUCUCAUGAAGGCUGUGGCAAGCCAACCCGUGUCAGUUGCAGUGGAUGGAGGCGAUAUGACAUUCCAAUUCUACUCCGGCGGCGUGAUGACCGGCUCUUGUGGCACUGAUUUGGAUCAUGGGAUUGCGGCCAUCGGUUAUGGAACUACUAGUGACGAUACAAAGUAUUGGUUAUUGAAGAAUUCUUGGGGCACAACAUGGGGUGAGAAUGGAUAUUUAAGAAUGGAGAAAGACAUCGCCGACAAGAAGGGCAUGUGUGGCCUUGCCAUGGAGCCUUCCUACCCCACGGCAUAG
rnacentral:rRNA from 1 species